AGUUUUUCUGCCCAUUGAUUUUAAAAGGCUGCAGUAUAUUGACUGUACAAAGGUAGCAAAAUCAAUAGUUUUUUAAUUGAAAACUUGUAUGAAAGAAUUAAUAAAAUACAAACUGUCUUAAAUUUUGAAUUUAAAUUUAAAGUUAAAAUGCUUUAAUAAAUUUAUUAGACGAUAAGACCCUAAGAAUUUUAAAUUAUUAAUUAAAAUGAAAUCUUAAUUAAAUUAAUAAUUUUUUAUUGGGAGGGUAAUUAAAUAAAACUUUAAUUAAUAAUAACAUUGAUAAAUGAAUAUAAUGAUAAUUAUAAUAAUUAUUAGAAAUAAUUACCUUAGGGAUAACAGCGUAAUAAUUUUGGAGAGUUCAUAUUAAUAAAAUUGUUUGCGACCUCGAUGUUGAAUUAAAAUAAAAAUUAAGUGAAGAAGCUUAAAAUUUUAGUCUGUUCGACUAUUAAAAUUUUAC
rnacentral:rRNA from 1 species